rnacentral:tRNA from 1 species
GUGGAUUUGGUAAUGCCGAUAUUGAUUUGAAAUCAAUUUUUUUUACGUUUAACUCGUAAAAUCCAUU